GCGGCAAAAGCUCAAAUUUGAAAUCUGGCGUCUUUGGCGUCCGAGUUGUAAUUUGAAGAAGGUAUCUUUGGGCCCGGCUCUUGUCUAUGUUCCUUGGAACAGGACGUCACAGAGGGUGAGAAUCCCGUGCGAUGAGAUGACCCGGGUCUGUGUAAAGUUCCUUCGACGAGUCGAGUUGUUUGGGAAUGCAGCUCUAAGUGGGUGGUAAAUUCCAUCUAAAGCUAAAUAUUGGCGAGAGACCGAUAGCGAACAAGUACAGUGAUGGAAAGAUGAAAAGAACUUUGAAAAGAGAGUGAAAAAGUACGUGAAAUUGUUGAAAGGGAAGGGCUUGAGAUCAGACUUGGUAUUUUGCAUGUUGCUCUCUCGGGGGCGGCCGCUGCGGUUUACCGGGCCAGCAUCGGUUUGGAGCGGCAGGAUAAUGGCGGAGGAAUGUGGCACGGCUUCUGCUGUGUGUUAUAGCCUCUGACGAUACUGCCAGCCUAGACCGAGGACUGCGGUUUUUACCUAGGAUGUUGGCAUAAUGAUCUUAAGUCGCCCGUCU
rnacentral:rRNA from 1 species